AUUGGAUAAGGUUCUCGGCUUGUACUGGCGUGUUCGAGGAAAAAUCACUGGUCGAAAGCUUUGGGAGUUCCCCACGCAGGAUAGUUUUGAAGAAUACUUUUCACUUCCAGCACAAUUUAAUUAAUAAUUCGGUGCUAAUCGUGGCUACAGUAACCUGUAUGAUGGAGGACCUGAUUCUAGUAGCCAAUGGACUGGUGUUCCAGAUGGACUAUAUAAACCUUGGAUGAAGCUUAAAUUAUACAUGAAUUGGCAGAAACAUUGAGACCUACCUUUCUGAUGGGAGGCUAGAUGCGUUUAGGUGCAGCAGGUCCUGGCUUGUGGCUUGGAAGACCACCUUAGGUUGAAAACUGAUUUUCUCCUGUCAUCGACCUUCUUGACUCAUAUCUUCGGCAGCAUUUCGACCCUGAUCUUCCAGAAUAAGAGCGAAAGAAUCAUAACGGU